rnacentral:rRNA from 1 species
GAUGAACGCUGGCUAUAGGCUUAACACAUGCAAGUCGAGGGGAAACGACGGGGAAGCUUGCUUCCCCGGGCGUCGACCGGCGCACGGGUGAGUAACGCGUAUCCAACCUGCCUCUGACUGAGGGAUAACCCGUCGAAAGUCGGCCUAAUACCUCAUGGUAUCGUCUGCGGGCAUCCAACGACGAUUAAAGAUUUCAUCGGUCAGGGAUGGGGAUGCGUCUGAUUAGCUUGUUGGCGGGGUAACGGCCCACCAAGGCUACGAUCAGUAGGGGUUCUGAGAGGAAGGUCCCCCACAUUGGAACUGAGACACGGUCCAAACUCCUACGGGAGGCAGCAGUGAGGAAUAUUGGUCAAUGGGCGAGAGCCUGAACCAGCCAAGUAGCGUGCAGGAAGACGGCCCUAUGGGUUGUAAACUGCUUUUAUGCGGGGAUAAAGUGAGGGACGUGUCCCUCAUUGCAGGUACCGCAUGAAUAAGGACCGGCUAAUUCCGUG